CUGGGAGGACCAUCUCCUAAGGCUAAAUACUCUCUAGUGACCGAUAGUGAACCAGUACCGUGAGGGAAAGGUGAAAAGCACCCCGGAAGGGGAGUGAAAUAGAACCUGAAACCGUGUGCUUACAAGUAGUCAGAGCCCGUUAAUGGGUGAUGGCGUGCCUUUUGUAGAAUGAACCGGCGAGUUACGAUUUGAUGCAAGGUUAAGCAGUAAAUGUGGAGCCGUAGCGAAAGCGAGUCUGAAUAGGGCGUUUAGUAUUUGGUCGUAGACCCGAAACCAGGUGAUCUACCCUUGGUCAGGUUGAAGUUCAGGUAACACUGAAUGGAGGACCGAACCGACUUACGUUGAAAAGUGAGCGGAUGAACUGAGGGUAGCGGAGAAAUUCCAAUCGAACCUGGAGAUAGCUGGUUCUCUCCGAAAUAGCUUUAGGGCUAGCCUCAAGUGAUGAUUAUUGGAGGUAGAGCACUGUUUGGACGAGGGGCCCCUCUCGGGUUACCGAAUUCAGACAAACUCCGAAUGCCAAUUAAUUUAACUUGGGAGUCAGAAC
rnacentral:rRNA from 1 species